UAGAGAUCCUGCCCUCACGGGUAGACCUCCAACCCUGUGUAUUUAUACCUUGUUGCUUCGGCAGGCCGUCUAGGCUUCGGUCUAGCCAUGGGCUUCGGCUCGUGAGUGCCUGCCAGAAGACAUUAAAACUCUUGAUAUAAUUGUCGUCUGAGUAAAAACUUAAUAAGUUA
rnacentral:misc_RNA from 1 species